rnacentral:sRNA from 1 species
GUCUCCCGGUUUCACCGGUGACGCGGAGAAGCUUCGCUUUUCCCCAUCCAGCCGGAUCGACCGCCGGCUGCAGAAGGA